GUAUUUUCUGAUCAUUCUUCAGGGUGUGCAGUCCUGAACACAGGCUCUUGCAUUCCAGGAGCUUUAGGCUUUGCUGAGCCUGCCCCUGGAUCACUCUAUGGCACAGCUCCCAGCCCCAGCUGUGAUGUCAGGAUGUGUUAAGGGAAAAUACAUCAUUUUCAUCCAGGAAGCUAACUGCUUCUUUGGAAGAACAGCCAUCUCCCUUCAGCUUAAGCUUCUGCAGUCUUUUGACUUUCACUGGAUUCUGCCUUAGCAAAACUAAAACCAGCUGGUAACAAUAAAUGUAUCCCUACCUGGAAAAACAAAUUACAGUGUAUCUUACUGGCCUCCUGCAUUACCAGUCACUGCAGUUUAUUUGUGAAAGAGUAACAUCAAUUGAAGUCCAGAUUAAUGCAGAAUCACUCCUUUUAG